GGUUAAGCGACUAAGCGUACACGGUGGAUGCCCUGGCAGUCAGAGGCGAUGAAGGACGUGCUAAUCUGCGAUAAGCGUCGGUAAGGUGAUAUGAACCGUUAUAACCGGCGAUUUCCGAAUGGGGAAACCCAGUGUGUUUCGACACACUAUCAUUAACUGAAUCCAUAGGUUAAUGAGGCGAACCGGGGGAACUGAAACAUCUAAGUACCCCGAGGAAAAGAAAUCAACCGAGAUUCCCCCAGUAGCGGCGAGCGAACGGGGAGCAGCCCAGAGCCUGAAUCAGUGUGUGUGUUAGUGGAAGCGUCUGGAAAGGCGUGCGAUACAGGGUGACAGCCCCGUACACAAAAAUGCACAUGCUGUGAGCUCGAUGAGUAGGGCGGGACACGUGGUAUCCUGUCUGAAUAUGGGGGGACCAUCCUCCAAGGCUAAAUACUCCUGACUGACCGAUAGUGAACCAGUACCGUGAGGGAAAGGCGAAAAGAACCCCGGCGAGGGGAGUGAAAAAGAACCUGAAACCGUGUACGUACAAGCAGUGGGAGCACAGAGCAAUCUGUGUGACUGCGUACCUUUUGUAUAAUGGGUCAGCGACUUAUAUUCUGUAGCAAGGUUAACCGAAUAGGGGAGCCGAAGGGAAACCGAGUCUUAACUGGGCGUUAAGUUGCAGGGUAUAGACCCGAAACCCGGUGAUCUAGCCAUGGGCAGGUUGAAGGUUGGGUAACACUAACUGGAGGACCGAACCGACUAAUGUUGAAAAAUUAGCGGAUGACUUGUGGCUGGGGGUGAAAGGCCAAUCAAACCGGGAGAUAGCUGGUUCUCCCCGAAAGCUAUUUAGGUAGCGCCUCGUGAAUUCAUCUCCGGGGGUAGAGCACUGUUUCGGCAAGGGGGUCAUCCCGACUUACCAACCCGAUGCAAACUGCGAAUACCGGAGAAUGUUAUCACGGGAGACACACGGCGGGUGCUAACGUCCGUCGUGAAGAGGGAAACAACCCAGACCGCCAGCUAAGGUCCCAAAGUCAUGGUUAAGUGGGAAACGAUGUGGGAAGGCCCAGACAGCCAGGAUGUUGGCUUAGAAGCAGCCAUCAUUUAAAGAAAGCGUAAUAGCUCACUGGUCGAGUCGGCCUGCGCGGAAGAUGUAACGGGGCUAAACCAUG
rnacentral:rRNA from 1 species